rnacentral:rRNA from 1 species
UGUGCCUACGGGACGCAGCAGUGGGGAAUAUUGCACAAUGGGGGAAACCCUGAUGCAGCGACGCCGCGUGAGUGAAGAAGUAUCUCGGUACGUAAAGCUCUAUCAGCAGGGAAGAAAAAAAGUCUUUGGCUUUGGACGGUACCUGACUAAGAAGCCCCGGCUAACUACGUGCCAGCAGCCGCGGUAAUACGUAGGGGGCAAGCGUUAUCCGGAUUUACUGGGUGUAAAGGGAGCGCAGACGGCUGUGCAAGUCUGGAGUGAAAGGCGGGGGCCCAACCCCCGGACUGCUCUGGAAACUGUAAAGC